GAUUGCGAAGGCAGCUUACUAAGCCGUUCACUGACGCUGAUGCACGAAAGCGUGGGUAUCAAACAGGAUUAGAUACCCUGGUAGUCCACGCUGUAAACGAUGAUUACUCGUUGUUGGCGAUAUAUUGUCAGCGACUGAGCGAAAGCAUUAAGUAAUCCACCUGGGGAGUACGUUCGCAAGAAUGAAACUCAAAGGAAUUGACGGGGGCCCGCACAAGCGGAGGAACAUGUGGUUUAAUUCGAUGAUACGCGAGGAACCUUACCUGGGCUUAAAUGUAUAUUGCAUAAUGUGGAAACAUAUUUUUUCUUUGGAACUAUAUACAAGGUGCUGCAUGGUUGUCGUCAGCUCGUGCCGUGAGGUGUCGGGUUAAGUCCCAUAACGAGCGCAACCCUCAUUGCCAGUUGCCAGCAAGUAAAGUUGGGGACUCUGGUGAGACUGCCGGUGCAAACCGUGAGGAAGGUGGGGAUGACGUCAAAUCAGCACGGCCCUUAUGUCCAGGGCUACACACGUGUUACAAUGGCCAAAACAAUGGGCAGCCACUUAGUGAUAAGGAGCUAAUCCUAAAAAUUGGUCUUAGUUCGGAUCGGAGUCUGCAACUCGACUCCGUGAAGCUGGAUUCGCUAGUAAUCGCAUAUCAGCCCUGAUGCGGUGAAUACGUUCCCGGGCCUUGUACACACCGCCCGUCAAGCCAUGGAAGUUGGGGGUGCCUGAAGUCCGUAACCGCGAGGAUCGGCCUAGGGUAAAACCGAUGACUGGGGCU
rnacentral:rRNA from 1 species